GGUCUUUAAAGAAAUAUUUAAGGUAAAGGUAAGUGAUCACGUUCAGGUUAAUGUAAAUGUAGGUUGGUUCUGUUUUACUGAACGAAGCUUCAAAAGGUUUUCUAACGUAGCAGUUGGGGAGGAGAGGAAUCCUACGUCCAAGUCUGU